rnacentral:rRNA from 1 species
GCUUACGGCCAUACCACCCUGAAAACACCCGAUCUCGUCCGAUCUCUGAAGCUCAGCAGGGUCGGGCCUGGUUAGUACUUGGAUGGGAGACCGCCUGGGAAUACCAGGUGCUGUAAGCU